rnacentral:lncRNA from 1 species
UAGAAAUUGAAGGAAUUUUUUAGGAUUUUAUAAAAGCUAUAUACACAUGCGAAGCAAUAUCACGAUAGUCAACGAGCAUGACGAUAAUUUCGAUAUAUCGUUGCUCAAGUUUCUACCUUCGAUACGAUAAUCGCGUUUGAAUAUAUCGCGAUAAAUCAAAAUAUCGAAAUAUCGCCCAACCCUACUUCUUACACGUGAUCAACGGUGGGCAACGAGGGACUCUUGCAAGAACUGUAUGAACGAGGCAUCUGUUGGCCACAAUGAAGUUUAUUUUUCUAAUAACGGAUACAUUCGUUUUGAACUUUUGACAGAUUUUCAGUCUGUCAAAACCAUAGAAAUAUUAGAUCUAGAAUGCGUGCUCCUAUCCUUUCUCGGUUAAACAAGAGACGCCACAAUGACAACUUAAAAAUGGCCGGUUUGUAAGGGCAUAUUAAUUUUAACUCGCAUCAUGACCUUUCGCUUAGACCGCUCCUCGGACAAAUCCAACAUGGCCGUUUCAUAAGAGCAUUUUUGUUUUCAAUUUUGGACACCGGUCCCAUGAAUAAGUACGCAUUCUAGGUCUAAUGUUUCUAUGGUCAAAACUUGUCAAAAUGACACUUUUUGUACCACUUAGAGAACGAAUCAAAUGGAGCUACAGUCAGUGUUGACUAACACAGUGUGUUCUGCAUGUACAGUACGUGUUGUAGAAUUACAGCAAUUACAACACGUACAGAAACGUUUCCAAAUCUGUUAAUAAAUAUACUGUUUCUGAAAUCAAACUAUU